AGGACGAACGCUGGCGGCGUGCUUAACACAUGCAAGUCGAGCGGAAAGGCCCUUCGGGGUACUCGAGCGGCGAACGGGUGAGUAACACGUGAGCAACCUGCCCCUGGCUCUGGGAUAGCCUCCGGAAACGGGGAUUAAUACCGGACAUUCUCCUCCUUCCGCAUGGUUGGUGGUGGAAAGUUUUUCGGCCAGGGAGGGGCUCGCGGCCUAUCAGCUUGUUGGCGGGGUAACGGCCCACCAAGGCGACGACGGGUAGCCGGCCUGAGAGGGCGACCGGCCACACUGGGACUGAGACACGGCCCAGACUCCUACGGGAGGCAGCAGUGGGGAAUAUUGCGCAAUGGGCGAAAGCCUGACGCAGCGACGCCGCGUGGGGGAUGAAGGCCUUCGGGUUGUAAACCCCUUUCACCAGGAGCGAAUCAAGACGGUACCUGGGGAAGAAGCGCCGGCUAACUACGCGCCAGCAGCCGC
rnacentral:rRNA from 1 species